rnacentral:rRNA from 1 species
AUUGAACGCUGGCGGCAUGCCUUACACAUGCAAGUCGAACGGCAGCACGGGAGCAAUCCUGGUGGCGAGUGGCGAACGGGUGAGUAAUGUAUCGGAACGUACCUUUCAGUGGGGGAUAACGUAGCGAAAGUUACGCUAAUACCGCAUAUUCUGUGAGCAGGAAAGCAGGGGAUCGCAAGACCUUGCGCUGAUUGAGCGGCCGAUAUCAGAUUAGCUAGUUGGUGAGGUAAAGGCUCAUCAAGGCGACGAUCUGUAGCGGGUCUGAGAGGAUGAUCCGCCACACUGGAACUGAGACACGGUCCAGACUCCUACGGGAGGCAGCAGUGGGGAAUUUUGGACAAUGGGCGCAAGCCUGAUCCAGCCAUGCCGCGUGAGUGAAGAAGGCCUCGG